rnacentral:tRNA from 1 species
UUCCCAUGUAAGUUAAGGUUAGACUGUAAAUUUGUGGAAUUUAAAGUUUUUAGGACGUGGGAAA